AGUCGAACGGAGGCCCUAGCUUGCUAGGUGUCCUUAGUGGCGCACGGGUGAGUAACACGUGGGAACAUACCUUAUAGUACGGAAUAACUGCGGGAAACUGUAGCUAAUACCGUAUACUCCAGUAAUGGGAAAGAUUUAUCGCUAUAAGAUUGGCCCGCGCAAGAUUAGCUUGUUGGUGAGGUAAAAGCUCACCAAGGCUUCGAUCUUUAGCUGGUUUGAGAGGACGAUCAGCCACACUGGGACUGAGACACGGCCCAGACUCCUACGGGAGGCAGCAGUAGGGAAUAUUGGACAAUGGGGGCAACCCUGAUCCAGCAAUGCAGCGUGAGUGACGAAGGCCUUAGGGUUGUAAAACUCUUUCAUCGGUGAGGAUAAUGACAGUAGCCGAAGAAGAAGGACCGGCUAAUUCCGUGCCAGCAGCCGCGGUAAUACGGAAGGUCCUAGCGUUGUUCGGAAUUACUGGGCGUAAAGCGCAUGUAGGCGGAACAGAAAGUUAGAAGUG
rnacentral:rRNA from 1 species